CGUUUUUGUGCCCCCGAUUGCGGAUUAUUGCAAAUGCCCAAAGCCUGGGGCUCCCCGGAACGCACCUGAAAAGGGUUCGAUUCGAACAUUCUGGAGAGAAACGAAAAUGUUGAUGUUAUUUGAAAAUUCUUCGAUGCGAUAGGGGUUUCUUCUAUUAGAUUUAAUCUUAAAAGGUAGAUAAGAGGUAUUUCUGCCAUCGUAUUGUUUCUUUACGAACAAGAGUUUUUAUGAAACUGUUUUU